CCUACGGGAGACAGCAGUGAGGAAUAUUGGUCAAUGGCCGUAAGGCUGACCCAGCCAAGUCGCGUGAAGGACGAAGGAUCUCUGGUUUGUAAACUUCUUUUAUAGGGGAAUAAAGGUAUCCACGUGUGGAUAUUUGCAUGUACCCUAUGAAUAUGCAUCGGCUAACUCCGGGCCAGCAGCCGCGGUAAUACGGAGGAUGCGAGCGUUAGCCGGAUUUAUUGGGUUUAACGGGUGCGUAGGUUGUUUUUUAAGUCAGCAGGGAAAGAUUGUGGAUCAACCCUAAAAUUGCCGUUGAAACUAGAAGACUUGAGUGUGAUAGAGGUAGGCGGAAUGCGUGGUGUAGCGGUGAAAUGCAUAGAUAUCACGCAGAACUCCGAUUGCGAAGGCAGCUUACU
rnacentral:rRNA from 1 species